AAAGACUGUGAGCGUAACAUUUCGAAAACAAGGGCGCACGGAGUAUGCCCAUCGAAGAGGACGUCGCCACACCCUACCAGCUGCUGUGCUGGGAGCUGUCCGCGUUGCCGCUUGCCGAGCUUUUGCACCGCUACAACGCCUCAAGAGACCUCGCGCAGGAACUAAUUGGUCUGAUUGCACAGCAUCAGGACUGCACGAUCGCGCACGUUCACCGUAUGCUGGGUGUCCGAACAGAAGCAGCACCUCGGGGCGAUGACGACCCGGGAUGAUGGGCACAGCCAGAAAUAUCAACGCGCACAGAGAGCGUUUAUCUGUCGUCGUUGCACAAUGGCCAAGUUACGUACCAUGAGGGAAGGCGUCAGCUUUUGCUACACAGAUUCCCCCACCUUUCUGAACCUGCAAUGAUCUGAUUCAGUCGUCGAUACAGAUACAGACACGCACAGAGCAACAAUAGCAAUGAACUCUCUGUGUUUCUUGUAAAACCGUGGCGUACGUCGCGACCGCUGUCGAUGCAUGCGUUGGCUCCGGCGUUAGGUCUGGAGCUCGAAUACGCCCAUCCUCUCCGAGUGGGAAGAGACUCGUGCACCAUGCUACGUUUUUCUCCGCGCUUCCGCUUCCUCCCCUUCAUUCACUUGAUCGUGAUUGUCACAGGAAAGCCGCAUGCUCGUUGCCAUGACCCUCCCACCCAUCUCCCCCCCCCUUUCAAGCCUCCCUCGCUUCCCCUUACGGAUCUCUCUUCCCUCCCUUCCUACCGCCAUACUGUCGGCCCCUUCCUCUGCUUUUGCUCGUGUGCGCCAUUCCCUCUCUUAUGGUACGGUGAGGUUGUUGUCAG
rnacentral:misc_RNA from 1 species